UACGUAGGGUGCGAGCGUUGUCCGGAAUUAUUUGGGCGUAAAGAGCUCGUAGGCGGUGUGUCGCGUCGGCCGUGAAAAACCUGGGGGCUCAACUCUGGGCGUGCGGUCGAUACGGGCAUCACUGGAGUUCGGCAGGGGGAGACUGGAAUUCCUGGUGAUAGCGGUGAAAUGCGCAGAUAUCAGGGAGGGAAACACCCGGGUGGCGAAAGGCGGGGUCUCUGGGGCCCGAUACUGACGCUGAGGAGCGAAAGCAUGGGUAGCGAACAGG
rnacentral:rRNA from 1 species